rnacentral:rRNA from 4 species
AGAGUUUGAUUCUGGCUCAGAACGAACGCUGGCGGCGUGGAUAAGACAUGCAAGUCGAACGAGAGAAUUGCUAGCUUGCUAAUAAUUCUCUAGUGGCGCACGGGUGAGUAACACGUGAGUAACCUGCCCCCGAGAGCGGGAUAGCCCUGGGAAACUGGGAUUAAUACCGCAUAGUAUCGAAAGAUUAAAGCAGCAAUGCGCUUGGGGAUGGGCUCGCGGCCUAUUAGUUAGUUGGUGAGGUAACGGCUCACCAAGGCGAUGACGGGUAGCCGGUCUGAGAGGAUGUCCGGCCACACUGGAACUGAGACACGGUCCAGACACCUACGGGUGGCAGCAGUCGAGAAUCAUUCACAAUGGGGGAAACCCUGAUGGUGCGACGCCGCGUGGGGGAAUGAAGGUCUUCGGAUUGUAAACCCCUGUCAUGUGGGAGCAAAUUAAAAAGAUAGUACCACAAGAGGAAGAGACGGCUAACUCUGUGCCAGCAGCCGCGGUAAUACAGAGGUCUCAAGCGUUGUUCGGAAUCACUGGGCGUAAAGCGUGCGUAGGCUGUUUCGUAAGUCGUGUGUGAAAGGCGCGGGCUCAACCCGCGGACGGCACAUGAUACUGCGAGACUAGAGUAAUGGAGGGGGAACCGGAAUUCUCGGUGUAGCAGUGAAAUGCGUAGAUAUCGAGAGGAACACUCGUGGCGAAGGCGGGUUCCUGGACAUUAACUGACGCUGAGGCACGAAGGCCAGGGGAGCGAAAGGGAUUAGAUACCCCUGUAGUCCUGGCAGUAAACGGUGCACGCUUGGUGUGCGGGGAAUCGACCCCCUGCGUGCCGGAGCUAACGCGUUAAGCGUGCCGCCUGGGGAGUACGGUCGCAAGAUUAAAACUCAAAGAAAUUGACGGGGACCCGCACAAGCGGUGGAGUAUGUGGCUUAAUUCGAUGCAACGCGAAGAACCUUACCUGGGCUUGACAUGUAAUGAACAACAUGUGAAAGCAUGCGACUCUUCGGAGGCGUUACACAGGUGCUGCAUGGCCGUCGUCAGCUCGUGUCGUGAGAUGUUUGGUUAAGUCCAGCAACGAGCGCAACCCCUGUUGCCAGUUACCAGCACGUGAAGGUGGGGACUCUGGCGAGACUGCCCAGAUCAACUGGGAGGAAGGUGGGGACGACGUCAGGUCAGUAUGGCCCUUAUGCCCAGGGCUGCACACGUACUACAAUGCCCAGUACAGAGGGGGCCGAAGCCGCGAGGCGGAGGAAAUCCUAAAAACUGGGCCCAGUUCGGACUGUAGGCUGCAACCCGCCUACACGAAGCCGGAAUCGCUAGUAAUGGCGCAUCAGCUACGGCGCCGUGAAUACGUUCCCGGGUCUUGUACACACCGCCCGUCACAUCAUGGAAGCCGGUCGCACCCGAAGUAUCUGAAGCCAACCGCAAGGAGGCAGGGUCCUAAGGUGAGACUGGUAACUGGGAUGAAGUCGUAACAAGGUAGCCGUAGGGGAACCUGCGGC